rnacentral:lncRNA from 1 species
CGAAAAAAAUAGAGCCAACGCCGAAAUGAUCGCUGCACGGCGCGGGCUGGAGCGCCGGCGCGAGGCGAUUCGCGGCGCUUCGGCGGCCCAUGUGGUCUAUAGAAUAGCUUAACAAGGGCGACGAAUGAAGGCGGUCCCAUUUUCGCGGCGCUUCCGCGGCCGGUGUGUCCCCGGCGUUAUGCUGUUAGUUUCUAUUAAUAGCAGGACUCUGAGGUUAUUUGUUUGUUUUUGACUUGAAUGCUUUUUGUUUGUCAGCUCUGCAUUGAGAUGUCUGAACCCAGUGGUGUAACAACCGUGUUGGAGAAGAUCGCAGGUUCACGUGCAGAUUGGUGCAGAGUCCGGCGUGCUGAAUCCUGUGAGAGCCUCAGACAGCGUCUCCAGGACUGCAGUGGGAUCACGGUGGACCUUGAUCAGGACACCGAAGGCGUUGAUGUUUUAAAAAGUGGACCACUGCUGCAUCCAGCUAGACUCCCUGAGAAAACGCCACAGCUUGCUCCCCAAGGGCCUGCGCCUCGUCACCUACAUGUCCCAGCUCCAAAAGAACAAAACGCCUCGGCAACGCAGACUCCUCAAACGUCCAGCCAGAAAACAGCUGUGAUGGGAGGGAAUGAGAAGACGGAGCAGACUGCAGUGAAGACUUUAAGUGCUCCGUCUACAUCUGGUUUAGAAAAACAACCUGAUGCUCCUGGAAAGGGUCAAUCUGAAGUGGUCCUUCAGGACACGAUUGGGGCUUCUGGGAGGAGAAACGAAACGGCUCCUGGAAUAAAGGAACCGGCUGAACCUGUUAAAGCUGAGCCAGAGGAAGUCAAAGUUCAAUCAAAGGAGGUCAAAGAGACCAAAUCAGUAGAACUGGUGAAAAGAGAAGCACCAGAGAAUGUGGAGGUGAAAGGUUCUGCUGCAGUCUGUGAAGGUCUAACACCAACCACACCACCUGAACCUCCUACUGGUCCGCCUCAGAGACCACUGACCACCUUAAAACCCCAACAAACCUCAGUGAAAGCUUCUUCUGAGGUGCAGAAACCUGUGGAACCAAAUCCUGAGUCCACCACUCAAAAACUGGAGACCACAACAGCAGCUUCACGGGAGCAGCAGCAGAAAACUGGAAACUCGGAUCUUGUGGAAGCUGGAAUAAAUCCAACAUCAAAAGCUGUCAAAGUUUCAGCUGUGGCUCCUGAAAAAACAUCAUCUGCACAAACCGAGUCAAAACAGCAAUCUGCUGCAGCAGGAAGUCAAAAGCAGAUGAAUCCAACCACAUCAUCUGCUCCUAAUUUACACCUGACUCCUGGAGAGAAGCUAAAAGAAUACCAGGCUUUGGACAAACUCCGCUGUACUUCUUUGAAGUACCCUACCAUCUUCUCAGAACAUGUUUCUUCGAUACACAUCAGUCUCGCGAUAACCAACUUGUCAAAGUUCAACAAUGGCUGCUACACAGAAGCUGACAUCAUCAAAUUGCUUCAAAAAUAUGAGAUUCAGUGUGAAGAAAACAAACUUUUUGUCCUUCCUCAUAUUCAUAUGGCUUUUGUUCUUUUCCCAGAUGUGUCAAAGGUGCAGACUUUAUUCAAAGUGUCUGAGCAAGUAAAGGCUAAGAGUGUGGUUCUCAAAGGGUCCGAACUCAGCGUCUUUGCUUUCUCCCUUCCUAAUAAAAGUUUUCUUUCGUUUUACGAAUUUCUGAAGCGUCUCGCAACCUUUGUAAGUUUUUCUCUUUCAUCUCUUUGGUUAAAAAAGGUUCUCACCUGCGAUUUUCGUUUUACAUCAGCAAACAUUUUUCUACAUUCCUGCUUAUUUCAGGCGCUGCCAGAUCUGUUUGCAAAUUCAAAGUUAAAGCAAGCCUCUGACUUAUUUAAACUUUAUUUCUCUGUAGAAAAAGCGGAAGGGACCCCGAGACAAAACAAGUAUAGUUUACGUUUGGAGUAUCUCGCAAAGCGAAGCUGCACAUCUCAGGCAGGCUUUAAGAAAAAUCGGCGGAUUGAUGAACUAUCAGCCAAUGCUCAACAAGGUAAACACACACACACCAACAAACGCACAUUCUUGGACACUGAAACAACUCACUGUUUUUUUUUUUAUCUGUUCCCAUCUGAUGUUCCAGGUUUUGGUGGAAUUUCUGACAUCUUUGGAUGCUGA